rnacentral:rRNA from 1 species
UACAGAGGUCUCAAGCGUUGUUCGGAUUCACUGGGCGUAAAGGGUGCGUAGGUGGCGUGGUAAGUCGGGGGUGAAAUUUCGGAGCUUAACUCCGAAACUGCAUUCGAUACUGCCGUGCUUGAGGACUGGAGAGGAGACUGGAAUUUACGGUGUAGCAGUGAAAUGCGUAGAGAUCGUAAGGAAGACCAGUGGCGAAGGCGGGUCUCUGGACAGUUCCUGACACUGAGGCACGAAGGCCAGGGGAGCAAACGGG